AACGAACGCUGGCGGCGUGCCUAACACAUGCAAGUCGAGCGAGAAAGUCUUCGGAUGAGUAAAGCGGCGGACGGGUGAGUAAUACGUAGGUAAUCUACCUUUCAGUGUGGAAUAACUAAGGGAAACUUUAGCUAAUACCGCAUACGGUUUCGAAUCUUAUGGUUUGAAAAGAAAGGGGGGUCGUAAGAUCUCUCGCUGAUUGAUGAGCCUGCGUCCGAUUAGCUAGUUGGUAAGGUAAUGGCUUACCAAGGCGACGAUCGGUAGCUGAUUUGAGAGAAUGAUCAGCCACACUGGAACUGACACACGGUCCAGACUCCUACGGGAGGCAGCAGUGGGGAAUAUUGCACAAUGGAGGAAACUCUGAUGCAGCGACGCCGCGUGGG
rnacentral:rRNA from 1 species